rnacentral:rRNA from 1 species
AUGCUAAAUGACAGGAUAAAUACAUGUGAUCUUUUGAUCAGAAAAAAUAUGCAUCUGGAUUCCACUGUAUGUGUUCUAUGCAACAAUGAAGACAUUGAGGAUAGGACUCAUCUUCUUUUCACAUGUCCAUUUAGUUAGGGAUUUUGGUGGAACAUUGGUUUUGAAUGGAAUUCGGAUCUGGAAAUCAACAAUAUGAUUAUUGAUGCUAAACACAGAUAUAAAAUUGACCACUUCAUGGAAGCCAUGAUUCUUGGAUGCUGGAGCAUAUGGAACCAAAGGAAUGGGAUGAUUUUUGAAGGGAUCCCCUGUUCAAUAAAUGAAUGCAAGAAUGAAUUUGUCAGAUAUUUCAAAAUGACCAUGCUAAGGGCUAAACCCACUCUAAAAGAGGGCAUGUCCUCUUGGAUAGACAAUAUUUAA